rnacentral:lncRNA from 1 species
CUUAGCAUACUCUUUAUUUAUUUUUUAAAUAUUUAAAAAGUAAAAUUAAUAUUUAUCACAAGUAUUAAGUUGCUACAUAACUGUAUAAUUAGCAUGUAUCAUUUAAUAAAUAAGGCGUGCUACAAAUUGAUUGCCAAAAAUGUGUAAAAUAUCAAGUUGAUAUUUGUUCUAAGCAUUUUGUCACUUAGUAAACCUGACUUAUGCUGCGUUUACUUUUUGGAUUGGAGUGUAAAUCUUGAGGAGUGGGAAUCCUUGGAUUAGGAGUGUGAAGUGGGAGUGAGAGUAUGGUGUUUACUUAGACUAAAUGAAAGUAUAGAUUGUCAAUCAGAAUCCCAAUUAUUUGUUUACUUUGUCUUGGAUUGGGAAUAAAUUGUUUUAAAUUAUAAUUUUAUCCUUAUGUACAGAAUUAUAAUUUGU